rnacentral:lncRNA from 1 species
AGCAGCGUAGCUGAACAUCUUACGGAUGGCCCAGGGCUCCAAAGGCUCGUUUCCUAAGUGAGAGAGAGCCUGGCUGAAGCUGUAUUACCAUUCAUUCUCCAGCCUCCGAAGUCUCAAAGCAUCACUUCCACCAUACUCUAACUGUCAAGACAAACACAAAGGCCCAGAGAAGGGGUCUCACUAUGUUGUCUGGAGUGCUGUGGUGGAGUGGAGUGGCUAUUCACAGAGCCUGUUCUGCUGGGACACAGAAUCACUUGCUCCAUCUCAUACAUUGAUGAUGAUUAAUUUGUAUGUGUACCUUCCAAAAAAGAUGGUUGUGUUUGAAUGGAGGCCUUCUGGACAGGAAAAUAAUCACAUCCUUCCUGAGAUAAUGAGCACACAAUUGCCUGGAUACCUGAAGGAAUGGAGACAGCGGCAGAAAACACUGCAGAGAGGUGGAAACAUCCGUUAAUAUUUUAAAAUCCCAUUACUGCUACCAACAAUAAUAAUGGAUGCAUAGAAAUAGAUCUGGAUUAGCUGAGCUUGAAACAGUCCAUCUCACACACACACAAAAGAAUUUCAGAUACAGUGAACCCACAUGUUGAAGCUUUCUAGUAUAAUAAAAAUUUCAACUGUUCUGUUGAAUCAUCUGCCUGAUUGGAGGCUACAGAAAAGAUGUCAUCUUAGGAGUGCUUGCUCUGAGUGAGGCUCAUCUUCAAAUCUGAAUGACCACAAGGAGAUUUGAUUAUACAUGUGAACACCUCAGAAGGCACAGCCCACCCAGAAGGCAGACAGAAGAAGCUGCCAGGAAGACUGUGAAAUCUUCAUGCCCAAGGAUCCCUAAAAUUAGGAGCAACAACCACUUGGCUCAGACGGUUUAUGGAGGCAAAGGUUUGGAUGGGAUUAGAGAUUUCUAAAUGUGAGUUCGUGUCCUCUGCCAGACCACCUUACUUCCACCAUUCCUCAGCAAAUCAAGAAAAACAGGAGAAAAGACAUGCCUUUCCAUAAGUUAAAUCUAUUCUGUUUUAAUUCUAUAUUAUAUCUGCUGUACAACUUCUUUUGUUUGUAACACCAUAUUGUUGCUAGUAACUGGAAAUUAAUUUUCACAUGCCUCAGCUUAGAAAAAUAAAAAGCAGCCCUGCAUCAAUCCCAA